GACGAACGCUGGCGGCGUGCUUAACACAUGCAAGUCGAACGGUAAGGCCCUUUCGGGGGUACACGAGUGGCGAACGGGUGAGUAACACGUGGGUGAUCUGCCCUGCACUUUGGGAUAAGCCUGGGAAACUGGGUCUAAUACCGGAUAGGACUACGCGAUGCAUGUCGUGUGGUGGAAAGCUUUUGCGGUGUGGGAUGGGCCCGCGGCCUAUCAGCUUGUUGGUGGGGUGAUGGCCUACCAAGGCGACGACGGGUAGCCGGCCUGGGAGGGUGUCCGGCCACACGGGGACUGAGAUACGGCCCAGACUCCUACGGGAGGCAGCAGUGGGGAAUAUUGCACAAUGGGCGCAAGCCUGAUGCAGAGACGCCGCGUGGGGGAUGACGGCCUUCGGGUUGUAAACCCCUUUCAGCACAGACGAAGCGUAAGUGACGGUAUGUGCAGAAGAAGCACCGGCCAACUACGUG
rnacentral:rRNA from 1 species